UUCAGGAAACAGAAACAGAAUGAUCUCAAUAGGAUUAAAGGGUGUCUUUUUGGCAAACGACCUGCAUUCUAGUCCAGCCCUGAAUCUACGGCUGUUUCCAGGAGCAUAUCAUAUCACGGCCACAGAGAGUUCUGCAAUUUCAGUACGGUUUCAGAAACCCACGAACAUUCCCAUUUUGCAGCUGUGGGAACCAUCUGCUCAUCUACUUUCCUUCAGGGAACCAAAUGGGAUUCUUUCAGAGUAAACGAGGCUCUCCAAAUAAAAGACGCCAACAUUACAGGAGAAAGGCUUCCCAGGAAUGCGGAAAAUCGUGGAAAGCUGUGCACUGGUUCCAGUACAAACAAAUGAGCACUGGCCUCGGCCAGACCGUCACUACCCAACAAAUGUUUCUCAUGCCUAAUGGCUGACUGGACCACUUUUCAAAGAAGCUAUUGCAUCUUUAUAAGUAUCCACAAACCCUGGUCUCUACCCUCCGUUUGUUCUCAGACGAUCCCCUUAUUGAAGGAAAUACAGGUAUUAUAAAUGGCA